ACGCUCGACACCUAAGGCAGCAGUAGGGAAUCUUCCACAAUGGGCGCAAGCCUGAUGGAGCAACACCGCGUGAGUGAAGAAGGGUUUCGGCUCGUAAAGCUCUGUUGUUGGAGAAGAACGUGCGUGAGAGUAACUGUUCACGCAGUGACGGUAUCCAACCAGAAAGUCACGGCUAACUACGUGCCAGCACGCCGACGGUAAUCUGAGGCGGGCUGGCAAGGC
rnacentral:rRNA from 1 species